rnacentral:lncRNA from 1 species
UGUAAGUGAGAAAGAACUAAUGUUAGAAUAUAAUGGUUCAAAAAUAUUUUUCUCUAAAAUCUUUUAACAAAAAAAAAAUGGUUCAAGAAACUACUAAAAUGUUAUUUAUUAUUUGUUAAAAACACUAAACAUUAUAGGAGUAUCAAUUAAUAGUCUACUAUUCAUCUAAACUUUUUAUGCAGGACUAAACAAAAAUAUGUUUUUCUUAAAAAUAAAAUAUUGUAUAUAAUAUGUUGAUAAAAAUAUCAUUAAAUAGCAUAGGCCACUAUUUAUA